rnacentral:rRNA from 1 species
UACGUAGGGGGCUAGCGUUGUCCGGAUUUAUUGGGCGUAAAGAGCGUGUAGGCGGCCAGGUAGGUCUGCUGUGAAAACUCGAGGCUCAACCUCGAGAUGUCGGCGGAAACCAUCUGGCUAGAGUCCGGAAGAGGAGAGUGGAAGUCCCUGGUGUAGCGGUGAAAUGCGCAGAUAUCAGGAAGAACACCCGUGGCGAAGGCGGCUCUCUGGGACGGUACUGACGCUGAGACGCGAAAGCGUGGGGAGCGAACAGG